rnacentral:rRNA from 1 species
CACGUAGGGUGCAAGCGUUAUCCGGAUUUACUGGGCGUAAAGCGCGCGCAGGCGGCAUCGUAAGUUGGACGUGAAAUCUUUCGGCUUAACCGGGAGGGGCCGUUCAAGACUGCGAUGCUCGAGGGCAGAAGAGGGGAGUGGAAUUCCCGGUGUAGUGGUAAAAUGCGUAGAUAUCGGGAGGAACACCAGUGGCGAAGGCGACUCCCUGGUCUGUACCUGACGCUGAGGCGCGAAAGCGUGGGGAGCGAACGGG